GUUAUUGUAGCUUAAAAAUAUUAAAGCACGGCACUGAAGAUGCCGAUAUGGGAACGGCAAAACUCCCCAAAAACA
rnacentral:tRNA from 1 species